AAUGUUAUUUGCAGUGAGACUUUUUUUCUUCAUGGUUACAUAGCACAACUACAGAGUCAAGGUCAACAGAAACAGUGACGAAUUAUUAAAAUUAUUUACACUUGUUAUUGAUAUUGAAUGAUCGGUUAUCGGUAUAACUUUUGUUUUAUGAAGACACAAAACUAUAUCACAAAGUUUGAAGUAAAUUUUGAUGGGUUUUCCAAAAGAACUUUUCAGCAGAGUGAGACGUACUAAGGGAACUAAAGUAUUUAGUGUGGUAAAAUACUAUGCUUUUGGAGGAUUGGUUCUAGGUACUCUCAUUGGAAUUGGGAUGAGAUAUACUGCUCUAUUUGAAGAAUUUAGAAGAGAAUACAGUGAAGGACUCUAUGAUAACACACCAGAGUAUGAGAGGAAAAAGUUAUAUUUAUCACUUGGUAUUCCAAUACCCCAGACAUCGGAACAAUUGAAGAAAGAUAAAGAAUUUUAUAGAGGUACACAUGAACCUAUCGUAAAAACCUAAGCUUACUUACUUACCUCGGUGAAGAUGUCACAGAUUGGGAAGAAAGAAAAGAGUUUGUCAACGAAAAGUAAUGUGAACAAAAAGAAAACAAAUAGUGUUUGUAGUAAAGAGUCUUCUAGUAAUUUUGACAGCUUCUUCAGUUUAAGUUUGGCAAACAAGAAAGAGAAUAAAGAUGAUUCUUUGCUGGGUUCAGAAUGUCACAUGAAAGAUAUAUCUUAUCAGCAUAAUGAAUCAGAUUUGUUCAAAUUCCCUUCAAAAUCAAAAGCAACAGGUAAAAAUGAUGUGGUUUCUGAAACAAGUUUUGAAAGCAAAGCUUCUGAAUCAGACAAUGCCUUUCAAGAAGAAACUAAAGUAGAUACUUCAUUGGAACUUCAUCUCCUGGGCACCAAACCAAACAUAUUUAAUGAUACAACAUUAACUUCUAGUGAUCAUGAAGAGUCAAAUAAAGAAUGUAUAAAGUCUGAUUCAUUUGAAAUUACAAUUGAAAAAGGAAAUUCAGAACUAAACAAUCUGGAUGAAGAAGUUCCUAUAUCAAGAGCAAAAGUGUGUCGAAAUCCUCCCACUGUAGAAGAUAAGAAAUAUGUAACAAACAAGGAUGGAAGUGAAGUUACAAAUCAGUGCCCAAUAUGCUUGAAAACUGUCACCAAAUACUUGAGCCAUAUGAAAUCAUGUGCUGCCAAGAACAAACUCAGUACGCAACAGUUGCUUUCUGCGCUCAAACUUCAUAAAAAACAACUUGCUGAAAGAAAGGAGCUGGGACUGGGUCUUCCUAUACAGAGUUACAGAGCAAAGGUUUCUCCAAAGAGAUCUAGAGCUAAUGAUAAAAAGGGACCAGUGGAUUCGAGCUUACAGCUGGCACUGGCCUUGUCAGCAUCGCUGCAUUCGGCGGAGGAGAAUGAGCUGAUCCAGGAGGCUGAAGCUCUGAAGGAGGCGGGGCUCUCUGAGGAGGCUGAACAGAAGCUCAGUACCUUAGAGAAAUAUGGGUUUGCUACAUCAUUGCCUCCUGUAGCCAGAAUUGCUCAAGGCAGUUCCAAAUCCAUGGUCAUGGCUCCGACUCUGCUGCAGAAGAGAACCAGAGAAGACAGAGAGAGAAUAGUUACAGAAAAAGUUGCAAUAGUUUUGAUAAACGAAGAUGAAAAUGUCUCUUUAGAUGAGUUUACUACAAAGGAGCUAGUAAUCAAAUCAAAUCAACUUAGAAAAGUUUGGGAUAAAGAUAGUCAAUUAUGGACCAAAGCACAUUGUGGAGCAGAUGAACAACGACAGGCUUUCUACGUUCAGAAGUUGUCCGAGUUUGUCACCCCUAGCAAGUCCGAGGUGGGGGAGAACUUAAAGAGGUUAUCUCAACUUCCGGGGCGAUUGAAUACGCCGGAAAGAGACUGUAAUUUUUCUCCAACCACUUCUCUCAAAAGUCAACGGUCUGAUGAAGUCAACUUGUCUGAAUUAACAACGCCACCUCAAAUAUCAUCAUCCAGAGAAACACUGUUGAAUUUGGUUGAAGUUCCAACAACUCAUAAAAGUUGGCAGAACUCAACAAAAACACAAAAGCUAUCUGACGAUUGGUUAGCACUUGUUAAUAAUUCUAAGUUGAGUGACAUUACAAUACAAUGUAGUAACAAUGAUUUAGUGCCUGCCCAUAAACUGGUCUUUCAUGUUAGGUGUCCAAGUGUGUUGGAAGCUGUGGUCAUGGUGGAAAACCGUGAGGAGUUCCUUGAUUGUAAUGAUUCUUCUAAAGAUUCAAUUUUAGCUUUUCUUGAGUUUGUCUAUUCUGGUAGCACCAAUAGGCUGUCAUCCUUGGUAGCUGAGGAUCUGCAUUGUGUUCUUAAUCUUGCAGACAAGUUUAACUGUUCUGAUCUUAUGAACCAUUUAAGGACUUUUGUUGAAAAUAAACUUAAUAAAGCUGAACCAAAGAAAGAUGUUAAACGGGAUCUUUUUCAUACAAAUAAAGAUUCAGAAAAUAGUCUUAAUAUAAGCAGUAGACUGACUCCUAAAAGAAACAGUCUUUUAAGUAAUAUAUCAAGCAGAAAUACUUCAGAAUUGAAUUUUGCCUCAACUAGUAGAAUUCAUAAUAAUGAUAAUGCCUCUAAUUCUAGCAAUGGAAGAGGAUCUCCAGACAUGUUUUGUGAGUCAGACUUAAUAGAAUGUGAUGUUUCAUCACAAGAAAGUAGGGAUGAUUUAGAUAUCUUAGCAAGUCUGGUUGGAAAAUCAUUAACAGAAGUGGGAACAACACCUAACAAUAAAAUGAGUGAAAGUGGAAGUAAAACAGAAGUCGUUUUAUUGCUUAAUUCUUCCCCUGAGGUAACAUUGUCUAAAUCGCUACCAGUCAAAAGAAAAGCUCAAAGUAGUUGCAGCGAAGAUGAACAAUUGACACCAUUAAAAAAAGUGUGUUCAGAUCUGUCGCAAAGCGCUCUAUCAGAAAAUCAGGAUGGUAUCUUUGAUUUGACUCAGAGUAGCAACUCUUCAACUGAAGAACACACAGUUAAUGGGCUAGAUGAUAAAAGUGAUAAGGAUCUAGCUUUGGCUGAAAAUAUUGAAAAUGAAGAUGAUUGUUUAAAUGAGCUUACUCAAAAGAAUCCAUCGCCCUUAAAUAGCUCUAAAGAUGUUGAUAACUGUGCUGACUUUCAAAACAGCAGAGAUAGUAGUAGAUGUUAUGACUACAUUGAUCCCGUUUGGGAUGGUUUUGAUGACAAUUACUCGCAUUACAAUUAUGAAUUUAAUAAUUCAGUGAAAAACUCAGGAAAGUUUUCUCUUGAAAACUCACCCUCAGCUGAUAAAACCACAUUUUCUCCAUGUAGUGUUCAGUCUGAUUUAAAAUCAAUUUCAUCUCCAAAAAAUUCUUCCAAAUAUACAUAUCCAAAUAAUAAAACUCCCGAAAAAUCAUGCCAAACUAUAUCAUGUUUGUCACCCAGGACUUCCUCCACUGUGAAAUAUAUUUCAUCUGAGAGUAAGUCUCCCAAACAAUAUUCACAGAAGACUAUAAGCCCAUUAUCUAAGGCUUCUUAUGACAUAAAAUGUGUUUCUUCUGAAAGCAAGGCUCCCAGACAGUUGUUGCAAAGUACUUUAGAUAAGUACAGCCCUCAGUCUAGUAAGAAUUUGUUAAAUGAUGAUUCUGAUGUUGAAAUCAUUGAGAAUUAUCAUUCGCCGGACUUAAAUUCCAGCAAUCGAAAUAAGACAAGGAAAAAUUUGAGUUCCCAGUUCAGUUUGUCUCAAGAUAACGUUACCCAAACAUUUCACCAUACACCAAAGAACCAAAGUAGUAGUUCACAUGACUCACCAGUAAAUUCACCUACCAGUGCUUUCAAACAGUUUUCCCAAAAUAACAAAAAUAAAACACCAAACUUGCCAGUGAAAAGGGACUCUCUGGCUGCAAUGCAGCGUCUGUUAGAUGACUCUUUGGAGAUAAGUGAUAGUGUAUUCGCAACAGCUGAUGGUUUGCUAGCUUCUGAAGUAACUGCAAGUACAAAGACAAAGUUAGGAAACAUGGGUCCCUCCACAAGUACUCAAUUCCAGUGUACCGAAGAGGACAAAGGCAAGAAAUCAUUGAUGACUCCAUCUCCUGGAAUAGUCGUGUCUGAUGAUGUUACCCCCCUUGCUGACUACAGUGCUAUGAAAACUCCUGCUUUAAAAAAAGAGUUGAGUAGAUUCGGUUUGAAGCCGAGCCUGGGCCGCCACAAAGCCAAGUUACUGCUGAGGUACAUCUAUGACCAGACUCACCCCUUGGUGGCUGAGCCAGAAGCACAGGCAGACGCAUUCAGAAAACCUGAAGGGCAACCACCUCGCUCUCCACUAAAAAGUCCUCAUAAAUCACAUAAUCAAGUAAACCUACUGGAUUCUGAGUCAGACUCUGAGGAGUUCUGCUCCCAAAAAAAGCACCAGCAGCAGUGUUUCAUCAUUAGCCACUUUGCCUGAAGAGAGCAUCAAUGAACCAGACGAUUUGUUAUCGCAAGAUUUAUCUUCCACAGGUGAUGUGAAAGCAGCAGUGAGAAGUCUGAUAUUUAGCCACCCAGAGCUCCAUCGCAAAGUACUGCUGUAUGAACCCAUCUACUUGGAGGACUUGAUGGCAUUACUCAAAGCUAAUGGGAUCAAAAGCAAACCCAGU
rnacentral:misc_RNA from 1 species